UACGAGAGGCCCAAACGUUAUUCGGAAUUACUGGGCUUAAAGAGUUCGUAGGCGGCAUGAAAAGUAGGGUGUGAAAGCCCUCGGCUCAACCGAGGAAUUGCGCUCUAAACUGUCGUGCUCGAGGAGUCUAGAGGUGAGCGGAACUGAUGGUGGAGCGGUGAAAUGCGUUGAUAUCAUCAGGAACACCGGAGGCGAAGGCGGCUCACUGGGGAUUUUCUGACGCUGAGGAACGAAAGCCAGGGGAGCGAACGGG
rnacentral:rRNA from 1 species